UACGUAGGGGGCUAGCGUUGUCCGGAAUCAUUGGGCUUAAAGAGCGCGUAGGCGGCCCGGUAAGUCUGCUGUAAAAGUCAAAGGCUUAACCUUUGAAAGUCAGUGGAUACUGCCGGGCUAGAGUCCGGAAGAGGCGAGUGGAACUCCUGGUGUAGCGGUGGAAUGCGGAGAUAUCAGGAAGAACACCAACGGCGAAGGCAGCUCGCUGGGACGGAACUGACGCUGAGGCGCGAAAGCGUGGGGAGCAAACAGG
rnacentral:rRNA from 1 species